GUGCACGCUGGCGGCAGGCCUAACACAUGCCAGUCGAGCGGCAGCGCGGGGGCAACCCUGGCGGCGAGCGGCGGACGGGUGAGGAAUUCGUCGGAAUCUGCCUUUUUGUGGGGGAUAACGUAGGGAAACUUACGCUAAUACCGCAUACGUCCUACGGGAGAAAGUGGGGGACCGCAAGGCCUCACGCAGAAAGAUGAGCCGACGACCGAUUAGCUAGUUGGUGGGGUAAAGGCCCACCAAGGCGACGAUCGGUAGCUGGUCUGAGAGGAUGAUCAGCCACACUGGGACUGAGACACGGCCCAGACUCCUACGGGAGGCAGCAGUGGGGAAUAUUGGACAAUGGGCGCAAGCCUGAUCCAGCCAUGCCGCGUGUGUGAAGAAGGCCUUCGGGUUGUAAAGCACUUUUGUCCGGAAAGAAAUCCCUGGAGCUAAUACCUUCGGGGGAUGACGGUACCGGAAGAAUAAGCACCGGCUAACUUCGUG
rnacentral:rRNA from 1 species